UCCACUAUAUUUCAGUGGUAGAAUGGCCCGAUCCUAUUGUUAGUGCGUAGGAUGGAGGUCGGGGGUUCGAUUCCUCCUAGUGGCA